rnacentral:rRNA from 1 species
AUGAGGCGGAGGAUGGUGAUCAAGACGGUGCUGACCGACCUCAGGCAGCAGCGGAAGGUGAUCAAAGCCGUUUCCACUCUCUAUGGUAUCGACGCGAUUACUGUGGACUUGCGGCUCGGGACGAUCACCGUCAUCGGCGUCGUCGACCCCGUGCACGUCGUGGGUGAGCUGCGAAGGUUGUUUGGGAUUGCUGAGAUCAUCUUGGUCGGGCCCGCCGAGUAUGAGGAGAAGAAGAAGAAGGAUGAGGACGAGAAGAAGAAGGAGGCGGAGGAGAAGAAGAAGAAGGAGGUGGAGGCUCCUCGGUAUGAGUGGCCAGUCGGGUUCUUGAACAGCAUCACAGACAAUUUCUCCGAGGAGCGCAUCAUUCGCCGUGGUCGGCAUGGAGUAGUCUACAAGGGAGUGCAGGACAAUGGGGUAUGCAUUGCUGUGAAGAAGCUUCAUCUCAUGCCGGGAAUUGACAACGAGGAAUUCAUAAAUGAGUUUCAUAAUGUUGUGAGGGCCCGACAUCAAAAUACCAUACUAUUACUUGGUUACUGCCAUCAUACAGCACAAGUUCUUGUUGAGCACAAUGGAAAACAUGUUUCAGCUAUAGUGGAAGAAAGAUCUUUAUGCUCUGAAUACUUGCAAGGAGGAAGCCUUGACAACCAUCUUUCUAAUGAACCAUGUGCACUUGCUUGGCACACAUGUUACAAAAUAAUUAGAGGGAUAUGUGAGGGUUUACAUUACCUUCACAAAGGAGUUGAGUAUCCUAUUUACCAUCUGGAAUUAAAACCUACAAAGAUUUUUCUGGAUAACUACAUGAUGCCCAAAAUUGGAGGUUUUGGCUUCUCUAGACUCUUUGAUACAACGGAAACCUUCAAUACAUCAGAAGUUGCGCGAACAAGUGUAUACAUGCCACCAGAAUACAUCAGCAAACGGCAAAUCACACCAAAAUUUGAUGUAUUCAGUCUGGGCAUUAUAAUCUUGCAAAUAAUGGCAGGAAAGGAGAGCUACACCAAAUAUGCAGAUAUUCCUCCCAAAGAAUUUAUUGAACAUGUAUAUGGAUUAUGGGUAAAUAGGAUGCAGGGCACAAUAUCGAAGGAUACUUCAUGUGAAGUUAGAACAUGCAUCGAAAUAGCUCUAAAAUGUGUGGAGUCCAGUCAAGUGAAGAGGCCUACUAUAAAGCAGAUCAUACAAAGACUGAACAAGAUUGAUAUUGUUGAGUGCUCAUCUAUAGGUGAACUAUAUAGGACAAGGGAGUUUGCAUUUGAGUUCUUAGAACGUAUUACAAAUGACUUUUCUGACCAGAACAAAGUUGGCAGUGGUGGAUAUGGAGAUAUUUAUAAGGGGGUGCUAGACAAUGGAGAAGAGAUUGCUGUUAAGAAACUUCAUCAUCGUCAAAUGUUGUUCAUUACUGACAAGCAAUUUAAGAAUGAGGUUAUUAAUCUAAUGAGGGUCGAACAUGAAAAUAUCGUACGGUUAGUUGGCUACUGCCACCAUACAUCACAAAUAUUUGUUGAGUACGAAGGAAAACAUGUAUCUGCUAGUGUGCUAGAAAGAGCAAUUUGUUUCGAAUACAUGCAAGGUGGAAGCCUUGACGAUCAACUUUCAGCUGAAUCCUGCAAACUUGAUUGGGACAAAUGUUACAAAAUAAUAAAAGGAAUAUGUGAGGGUUUACAUUACCUUCAUAAUUCCGUUAAUCCCAUUUACCAUCUGGACUUAAAACCAGCAAAUAUUUUGUUGGAUAAGGAUAUGGUGGCAAAAAUUGGUGAUUUUGGCUUGUCAAGACUCUUUGAUUCAGCGCAAACCUAUAUCACAGCAUCCCGAGAUCUUAAAGGAACAUUUGGAUACAUGCCGCCAGAAUACAUCAACGGACAAAUAAUCAGUCCGAAGUUUGAUGUAUUUAGUCUCGGGGUCAUAAUCAUACAAGUAAUGGCAGGAAAGGAGGGCUACUUCAAUUGUCAAGACACCCAUCCGAAAGAUUUUAUUGAUCAUGUGCUUGAAAAAUGGCGAGUGAGGCAGCAGGCAACAAUGUCGUCCCAUGUAUCUGAAGAAGUGAGGACAUGCAUUGAAAUAGCAUUAAAAUGUGUGGAGCAUGACAGAAAUCAAAGGCCUAAGAUAGCCCAGAUUGUUAAUGAAUUAAGUAACAUUGGUAUUGCUAAGAGUUCACCAGUAGGUCAGGUGCAGACAACAAUAUCGCCCCAUGUAUCUGAAGAAGUGAGGACAUGCAUCGAAAUAGUGUUAAAAUGUGUGGAGGAUGACAGAAUGCGAAGGCCUACAAUAGCACAGAUUGUUAAUGAACUAAGUAAGAUUGGUAUUGCUAAAGGUUCACCCAUCAGCCAGAUUUCCCAAGCUACAUUUUCCAGCCCACAGCAGGUGGCACAGCCGGAACAAGGAGGAAGCCAUGAGGCAAACAAGCUGACUAGAACGCCAUUGGGAGAAACGUCAAGAUCAGGCCCUGGCCAAGCGUGCAGAAAGCUUAAUUUGUGGAAGUGGAACGUAAAACUGAAUCUGAAGAGGAAAGUAAAACUGAAGCUGAAGAGGAACGAAAGCUGA